GAUGAACGCUAGCGGCAGGCCUAAUACAUGCAAGUCGAACGAGAUUAGUAGCAAUACUAUGAAAGUGGCGCACGGGUGCGUAACACGUAUGCAAUCUACCUUUAAUUGGAGAAUAGCCUCGAGAAAUCGGGAUUAAUACUCCAUAACAUUAUGAAGUGGCAUCACUUUAUAAUUAAACCUCCGGGGAUUAAAGAUGAGCAUGCGCAACAUUAGCUAGUUGGUAAGGUAAUGGCUUACCAAGGCUACGAUGUUUAGGGGGUCUGAGAGGAUGAUCCCCCACACUGGUACUGAGACACGGACCAGACUCCUACGGGAGGCAGCAGUAGGGAAUAUUGGGCAAUGGAGGCAACUCUGACCCAGCCAUGCCGCGUGCAGGAUGACGGCCCUCUGGGUUGUAAACUGCUUUUAUACGGGAAGAAAAAGUACUACGUGUAGUAUAUUGACGGUACCGUAAGAAUAAGGAUCGGCUAACUCCGUGCCAGCAGCCG
rnacentral:rRNA from 1 species